rnacentral:snRNA from 1 species
AUCGCUUCUCGGCCUUUUGGCUCAGAUCAAGUGUAGUAUCUGUUCUUACAUUUAAUAUCUGAUACGUCCCCCAUCGGGGGACUACAUAUUAAAUGGAUUUUUCGAACAGGGAGUCGGAAAUGGGGCUUGCUCCGUCCGCUCCAGCAUCGACCCGGUAUUGCAGUACCUCCGGGAACGGUGCAACACUU